CAUUUGGAGAGACAUAGACAA
rnacentral:miRNA from 1 species